UUCUGGUUGAUCCUGCCGGAGGUCACUGCUAUUGGGAUCCGAUUAAGCCAUGCGAGUCGAGAGGGUUCGGCCCUCGGCGUACUGCUCAGUAACACGUGGAUAAUCUGACCUUAGGUGGAGGAUAACCUCGGGAAACUGAGAAUAAUACUCCAUAGAUCUUUGAUGCUGGAAUGCACUUAGAUUGAAAGCUCUGGCGCCUAAGGAUGAGUCUGCGGACUAUCAGGUUGUAGUCAGGGUAAUGACCUGACUAGCCUACGACGGAUACGGGUUGUGAGAGCAAUAACCCGGAGAUGAUAUCUGAGACACGAUAUCAGGCCCUACGGGGCGCAGCAGGCGCGAAAACUUCACAAUGUGCGAAAGCGCGAUGAGGGGAUCCCAAGUGCUUGCACGUAAGUGUAAG
rnacentral:rRNA from 1 species